GUAGUCUCGCACAGAUGCAUAUCAAUAAGCGGAGGAAAAGAAACUAACAAGGAUUCCCCUAGUAACGGCGAGUGAAGCGGGAAGAGCUCAAAUUUGGAAUCUUAAAGGGUUUCCCUUUACGAAUUGUAGUUUAAAGAAGUGUUUUCUGUUGAGGUUUUGGUAAAAGUUCUUUGGAAUAGGACAUCAUAGAGGGUGAGAAUCCCGUAUUUGACCUUUACUUUCAACUUUGUGAUACACUUUCAAAGAGUCGGAUUGUUUGGGAAUGCAGUCCAAAAUGGGUGGUAAAUUUCAUCUAAAGCUAAAUAUUGGCGAGAGACCGAUAGCGAACAAGUACCGUGAGGGAAAGAUGAAAAGAACUUUGAAAAGAGAGUUAAACAGUACGUGAAAUUGUCAAAAGGGAAGCGUUUGACACCAGUGUUGUUUUUCUGAAAAUCAAUUAAAGAACUGUUUAUGCUAAGCUGUUUAGACUUUAUCAGCUAACUGUUUAGUUUUGAGCUUUUCUUUAAUGCACUUUUCAGUUAACAAGUCAACAUCAAUUUCUUUUGCUGUAAAAAAGCUUGAGGAAGGUGGCUUGAGAUUCGUCUUAAGUGUUUAUAGCCUCUUGCCUAUGCAGUCGGAGAGGUUGAGGUCUGCAGCGUAGAUCCUUCGGGGCUAAAUGCAUUUGUGCUAAGUUAUAGCAUUUUAUAGACAACUUGUUGACUAUGAUUUGUCUUGUAGCUUACUCGCUUAUGUUAUUUUACCUACGCUUAGGAUGUUGAGCGCAUGUCUCUCUCU
rnacentral:rRNA from 1 species